CCAAAGGCUCUUUUCAGAGCCACCACUUCUACAAAUUAAGACAUG
rfam:Poecilia formosa, whole genome shotgun sequence.